CAGUGAAUCAUCGAAUCUUUGAACGCACCUUGCGCUCCAUGGUAUUCCGUGGAGCAUGCCUGUUUGAGUGUCAUGAAUACUUCAACCCUCCUCUUUCUUAAUGAUUGAAGAGGUGUUUGGUUUCUGAGCGCUGCUGGCCUUUAGGGUCUAGCUCGUUCGUAAUGCAUUAGCAUCCGCAAUCGAACUUCGGAUUGACUUGGCGUAAUAGACUAUUCGCUGAGGAAUUCUAGUCUUCGGACUAGAGCCGGGUUGGGUUAAAGGAAGCUUCUAAUCAGAAUGUCUACAUUUUAAGAUUAGAUCUCAAAUCAGGUAGGACUACCCGCUGAACUUAAGCAUAUCAAUAA
rnacentral:rRNA from 1 species